rnacentral:misc_RNA from 1 species
AACGCACAUUGCGCCCCUUGGUUAUUCCGAAGGGCAUGCCUGUUCGAGCGUCAUUAUCACCCCUCAAGCCCUGGCUUGGUGUUGGACUUUAGUUAUAGCUUUGCCUAUCAACUGGUCUCAAAGAUAGUGACGGCGCCCCAGAGGGAACCGGGUACGAGGAGCUUUUUACUAAGCAUGUAUCUGGGACGACUCUGAUGGACGACGGUCUUGUUAUACUUUUACCUAAGUGUUGACCUCGGAUCAGGUAGGAAUACCCGCUGAACUUAA